rnacentral:rRNA from 1 species
GUAGGUGGCAAGCGUUGUCCGGGAAUUAUUGGGGCGUAAAGCGCGCGCAGGCGGUUCUUUAAGUCUGAUGUGAAAGCCCACGGGCUCAACCGUGGAGGGUCAUUGGAAACUGGAGAACUUGAGUACAGAAGAGGAAAGCGGAAUUCCACGUGUAGCGGUGAAAUGCGUAGAGAUGUGGAGGAACACCAGUGGCGAAGGCGGCUUUCUGGUCUGUAACUGACGCUGAGGCGUGAAAGCGUGGGGAGCAAACAGGAUUAGAUACCCUGGUAGUCCACGCCGUAAACGAUGAGUGCUAAGUGUUAGGGGGUUUCCGCCCCUUAGUGCUGCAGCUAACGCAUUAAGCACUCCGCCUGGGGAGUACGGCCGCAAAGGCUG